rnacentral:rRNA from 1 species
AUUGAACGCUGGCGGCCGUCUUAACACAUGCAAGUCGAACGGUAACGGGUUGAAAGCUCGCUUUCAAUGCUGACGAGUGGCGGACGGGUGAGUAAGGCUUGGGGAUCUGGCUUUUGGAGGGGGAUAACCAUUGGAAACGAUGGCUAAUACCGCAUAGAAUCGAGAGAUGAAAGGGGUGGGAAACCACUUGCCAAGGGAUGAACCCAAGUGAGAUUAGGUAGUUGGUGGGGUAAAGGCCUACCAAGCCGACGAUCUCUAGCUGGUCUGAGAGGAUGGCCAGCCACACUGGGACUGAGACACGGCCCAGACUCCUACGGGAGGCAGCAGUGGGGAAUAUUGCGCAAUGGGGGGAAUCCUGACGCAGCCAUGCCGCGUGAAUGAAGAAGGCCUUCGGGUUGUAAAGUUCUUUCGGUGGUGAGGAAGGUUAGGAUGUUAAUAGCAUACUGAUUUGACGUUAGCCACAGAAGAAGCACCGGCUAACUCCGUGCCAGCAGCCGCGGUAAUACGGAGGGUGCGAGCGUUAAUCGGAAUAACUGGGCGUAAAGGGCACGCAGGCGGGACGUUAAGUGAGAUGUGAAAGCCCCGGGCUUAACCUGGGAACAGCAUUUCAUACUGGCGUACUAGAGUACUUUAGGGAGGGGUAGAAUUCCACGUGUAGCGGUGAAAUGCGUAGAGAUGUGGAGGAAUACCGAAGGCGAAGGCAGCCCCUUGGGAAGAUACUGACGCUCAUGUGCGAAAGCGUGGGGAGCAAGCAGG